CAGUAGCCGCGGUAAUACGUAGGUGGCAAGCGUUGUCCGGAAUUAUUGGGCGUAAAGGGCUCGCAGGCGGUUUCUUAAGUCUGAUGUGAAAGCCCCCGGCUCAACCGGGGAGGGUCAUUGGAAACUGGGAAACUUGAGUGCAGAAGAGGAGAGUGGAAUUCCACGUGUAGCGGUGAAAUGCGUAGAGAUGUGGAGGAACACCAGUGGCGAAGGCGACUCUCUGGUCUGUAACUGACGCUGAGAGACGAAAGCUAGGGGAGCAAAUGGGAUUAGAUACCCCUGUAGUCCCUGUCUCUUAUAC
rnacentral:rRNA from 1 species